rnacentral:rRNA from 1 species
GGGCCCGCACAAGCGGUGGAGCAUGUGGUUUAAUUCGAUGAUACGCGAGGAACCUUACCAGGGCUUAAAUGUAAGUUGACAGGGUGGAAACACCUUUUUCUUCGGACAAUUUACAAGGUGCUGCAUGGUUGUCGUCAGCUCGUGCCGUGAGGUGUCAGGUUAAGUCCUAUAACGAGCGCAACCCCUGUUGUUAGUUGCCAUCGAGUAAUGUCGGGAACUCUAACAAGACUGCCGGUGCAAACCGUGAGGAAGGUGGGGAUGACGUCAAAUCAUCACGGCCCUUACGUCCUGGCUACACACGUGCUACAAUGGCCGGUACAGUGAGCAGCCACCCCGUGAGGGG